rnacentral:misc_RNA from 1 species
AUUUUGUACAUUUUUACGACCAACUUUGUGCAGAGCUGAUCUCAGGUUUGAAAUAUGGCUACUGGCUUUGGAAUUUCACAAUUCCAUCUAAAUUGUGACCAAUGUGAAGAACGCUGUGACUUCCACUGUAACAUCUGCGGUCUUAAACUAUGUGAUUCCUGCAAGGACAAACACAGUGUGGACCAAGUGACAUCACACCACAAGGUCACCCAAUUUUCAGACCAGGAAAUUUUUAAAUUCCUAAAUGAGAAGUGUCAAUUACACACUGACGAAAACCUGUGUAAAUUAUGUUCGAACUGCGAGACUUUUGUCUGUAAGAAAUGCACUGUAAAGCCAUUUCACAAGGACCAUUUAUUCCUUGAUAUGAGAGAAUUGUAUGAAUGUUAUUCUGAAACACGUAGAAGCGAAAUAUCGAAAAUUCGGGAACAUUUAAUACCAACGUCUAACAAUAUUGUUCGUAAUGUCGGAGAAGAUGUUACAAAUAUAAAAGAUAUGUUUAAAAACAUUAGAAGGGGUUUGAAAUCCAAAGCUGAUUCUCUUAAAACUUUUGUCGAUGAUGUAGUUUCUGGUGAAAUUGACAAACUUGGAAAAAUAGAAAAAGAUAUUAUCGAAAAUCUUAACAAUGAAGAAGAUACUUUAACAGAUUUUAUAUCAUAUCUAACUAAUCUCAGACAAACAUAUGAAUCGAAACUUCUGAAUACAGAUAAAAAUGACAUCAUAGUCAGUCAAAGGGAAAAUACGACAAUAAAAACCAUUCCUAUUCCUGAAACUCACACUCCUGAUACUUAUGAGUACGAACCAAGAAGAGCCACUAUUGAGGAAGUGUCCAAAUUGUUCGGUAGUGUCAGGCUUAAAGCAAACGGUGCAAAACGGAUUGUGGAUAUUGAUGAUAAAUUGACAUUAGAUACAAAGCAGAAGAUACCAGAUAAAACAAAAAUAAAACCAGAAAUGGUUUUAAGAAGGUCAGCAGCCGUUAAAAAGUUGAAGGAAAUAAAUGUAAACGGAGUCCAUGAUGGGUGCCACAUUUCAUUUGACAUCGACAGAUUAUGGGUAAGUGACACUAGAUGCGUUAUCGUCCAAGCCGAUUUACAUGGUAAACUCUUACAGAAGAUCAAUGCUGCUGGGGGUGAAGGAUAUCAUUCGACAAACAAGGCUAGAGAUCUGCUUUUCGCGGACAAAGAAAGGAGGGUCAUCAGUAAAAUUACGAUUGAAAAAGAAGUGACAGAGUUCAUUAGUACAGAAGAUUGGGUUCCGAAAUGUGUGUUCUGUUCUAAGAUAACUAAGGACAUUUUCGUGGGUACGGUUAAAGAGACACAAGGAUCUAAAAUUAAGAGUAAAAUUAAAAGAUACGACAAUGAUGGAUUAAUGAUACGGGAAUACAAUAAGAAUAUGACCAAGCAACGUACAUUUGCGAAAACAAGAACGAAGAUGUUUGCACUUCUGACCACAGAAAGAAAGCUGUCGUAGUUGUAUCGAAAUCAGGAAGACACAAAUUUUCCUAUCAAGGGUCGAGUCAAAGGACAUUUUCUCCAAAUGGAAUCUGCACUGAUGACUUAGGACACCUUCUAAUAUGUGACGGGGCAUCCAAUACUGUUCACAUUGUCGAUGAGAAUGGAAGUUUUAUUGCCUUAUUAAUAAACGAGGAAUUUGGUCUAAAGAAUCCAUGUGGACUUUGUCUAGAUGAAGAAAAUAACCUCUUAGUCGGACAAUGGGACAAAAAAACAAUAUCCGUCUUUAAGUAUUUGGAUUACUGUUCUCAAUAGAAUGUGGUACAUCUUUUGCAAAUCCGUGAACUAAUGUGGUGAUGCCUUCUUAUAUAAGUAUCCUUAAUUCUUAUUGUCAUAAUGAUAUAAACAAUGAAUGUUUUUACUUCUUUUCAAAUGGCUCUUGCAAACCGUGUAUUUAAUCAAAAAUAAACAUAAGUUGUCGGAAGAAGAACCUACGAUAGAGUUUCGUAAAUGUUUCCAUUAUAGUCAUUCACGAAUAUCGCAUCUUCAAUCCCUGUAUUCAUGUUAAUUUUGAAAUUUAAAUCUACGUGUUGUACUAAGUAUUGAGACCCUUUUAUAACAGGAUAAUUGUGUAGCUAUAUCUAGAGUAAGCGUUGCAGUUCUCAAGAAUAUCUUAAACAAUUGUUCAUUAAUAUAUAAACUUACAUCAGACUUUAAACACAUGUGGGACCCAAUAUUUGUUUAGGGUCCACAGCCUAAACAAUUUUGAAUCAACAAUGUCAAAGCCUGCAUGUAAGUAUACUAUAUAUUAUAACACUUUUUGAAAAUAAUUUACUUUAUCCCAAUGAAAAUUUUACCCCCACCAAUGUAGCCCCAUCAAAUCCCAAGGGAUCAUAAAUUGAACAACCUUCAAUUCAAUUUCAAACACUUCCUAAGGAUGUUUCCACACAAGUUACAGCUUUUUUGAUUUUUGUUUUUGAGAAAAGGAUUUUAAAAGAUUUUUUUCUUUACAUUCUUAUGUAAAUAAUCGACCCCCUCCCCUUUGUUGCCCAAUCCUAUCCUUGGCGAUCAUGACUUGAACAAACUUCAAUAUUUAUCCUAUCUGUAAAUGUAAUUCCUGAGAAAAUGCACAUCAUUUCACUUGCAGGCGUUCAAAAUACGAACGGUCCUUUAUUACCAUUGCAAACUGAUUUUGAUUAUUCAAAGCAAUUUGGUUUUUUACUUGAUUUCGGAGCAAUGUUUUUUUAAUGUUGGAAUGUAAUAGUCCCAUCUUAGACUAACUUUAGUCUAACACUUUCCUGAUGUUGCCCUUUAUUCUUUAUAGGGCACCAUAAUAAAGUAUAUCUUAUUUUGCU